GGGUUGUGAGGUUAAGCGACUAAGCGUACACGGUGGAUGCCCUGGCAGUCAGAGGCGAUGAAGGACGUGCUAAUCUGCGAAAAGCGUCGGUAAGGUGAUAUGAACCGUUAUAACCGGCGAUGUCCGAAUGGGGAAACCCAGUGCAAUUCGUUGCACUAUCGUUAACUGAAUACAUAGGUUAACGAGGCGAACCGGGGGAACUGAAACAUCUAAGUACCCCGAGGAAAAGAAAUCAACCGAGAUUCCCCCAGUAGCGGCGAGCGAACGGGGAGCAGCCCAGAGUCUGAAUCAGCUUGUGUGUUAGUGGAACGGUCUGGAAAGUCCGACGGUACAGGGUGAUAGUCCCGUACACCAAAAUGCACAGGUUGUGAACUCGAAGAGUAGGGCGGGACACGUGGUAUCCUGUCUGAAUAUGGGGGGACCAUCCUCCAAGGCUAAAUACUCCUGACUGACCGAUAGUGAACCAGUACCGUGAGGGAAAGGCGAAAAGAACCCCGGCGAGGGGAGUGAAAAAGAACCUGAAACCGUGUACGUACAAGCAGUGGGAGCACCUUCGGGUGUGACUGCGUACCUUUUGUAUAAUGGGUCAGCGACUUAUAUUCUGUAGCAAGGUUAACCGUAUAGGGGAGCCGCAGGGAAACCGAGUCUUAACUGGGCGUUAAGUUGCAGGGUAUAGACCCGAAACCCGGUGAUCUAGCCAUGGGCAGGUUGAAGGUUGGGUAACACUAACUGGAGGACCGAACCGACUAAUGUUGAAAAAUUAGCGGAUGACUUGUGGCUGGGGGUGAAAGGCCAAUCAAACCGGGAGAUAGCUGGUUCUCCCCGAAAGCUAUUUAGGUAGCGCCUCGUGAACUCAUCUUCGGGGGUAGAGCACUGUUUCGGCUAGGGGGUCAUCCCGACUUACCAACCCGAUGCAAACUACGAAUACCGAAGAAUGUUAUCACGGGAGACACACGGCGGGUGCUAACGUCCGUCGUGAAGAGGGAAACAACCCAGACCGCCAGCUAAGGUCCCAAAGUCAUGGUUAAGUGGGAAACGAUGUGGGAAGGCACAGACAGCCAGGAUGUUGGCUUAGAAGCAGCCAUCAUUUAAAGAAAGCGUAAUAGCUCACUGGUCGAGUCGGCCUGCGCGGAAGAUGUAACGGGGCUAAACCAUGCACCGAAGCUGCGGCAGCGACACUAUGUGUUGUUGGGUAGGGGAGCGUUCUGUAAGCCUGCGAAGGUGACCUGUGAGGGUUGCUGGAGGUAUCAGAAGUGCGAAUGCUGACAUAAGUAACGAUAAAGCGGGUGAAAAGCCCGCUCGCCGGAAGACCAAGGGUUCCUGUCCAACGUUAAUCGGGGCAGGGUGAGUCGACCCCUAAGGCGAGGCCGAAAGGCGUAGUCGAUGGGAAACAGGUUAAUAUUCCUGUACUUGGUGUUACUGCGAAGGGGGGACGGAGAAGGCUAUGUUAGCCGGGCGACGGUUGUCCCGGUUUAAGCAUGUAGGCUGGUUAUCCAGGCAAAUCCGGAUAAUCAAGGCUGAGGUGUGAUGACGAGGCACUACGGUGCUGAAGUAACAAAUGCCCUGCUUCCAGGAAAAGCCUCUAAGCAUCAGGUAACAUCAAAUCGUACCCCAAACCGACACAGGUGGUCAGGUAGAGAAUACCAAGGCGCUUGAGAGAACUCGGGUGAAGGAACUAGGCAAAAUGGUGCCGUAACUUCGGGAGAAGGCACGCUGGUGUGUAGGUGAAGUCCCUGCGGAUGGAGCUGAGACCAGUCGAAGAUACCAGCUGGCUGCAACUGUUUAUUAAAAACACAGCACUGUGCAAACACGAAAGUGGACGUAUACGGUGUGACGCCUGCCCGGUGCCGGAAGGUUAAUUGAUGGGGUUAUCCGUAAGGAGAAGCUCUUGAUCGAAGCCCCGGUAAACGGCGGCCGUAACUAUAACGGUCCUAAGGUAGCGAAAUUCCUUGUCGGGUAAGUUCCGACCUGCACGAAUGGCGUAAUGAUGGCCAGGCUGUCUCCACCCGAGACUCAGUGAAAUUGAACUCGCUGUGAAGAUGCAGUGUACCCGCGGCAAGACGGAAAGACCCCGUGAACCUUUACUAUAGCUUGACACUGAACAUUGAGCCUUGAUGUGUAGGAUAGGUGGGAGGCUUUGAAGCGUGGACGCCAGUCUGCGUGGAGCCAACCUUGAAAUACCACCCUUUAAUGUUUGAUGUUCUAACGUGGGCCCCUAAUCGGGGUUGCGGACAGUGUCUGGUGGGUAGUUUGACUGGGGCGGUCUCCUCCCAAAGCGUAACGGAGGAGCACGAAGGUUAGCUAAUCCUGGUCGGACAUCAGGAGGUUAGUGCAAUGGCAUAAGCUAGCUUGACUGCGAGCGUGACGGCGCGAGCAGGUGCGAAAGCAGGUCAUAGUGAUCCGGUGGUUCUGAAUGGAAGGGCCAUCGCUCAACGGAUAAAAGGUACUCCGGGGAUAACAGGCUGAUACCGCCCAAGAGUUCAUAUCGACGGCGGUGUUUGGCACCUCGAUGUCGGCUCAUCACAUCCUGGGGCUGAAGUAGGUCCCAAGGGUAUGGCUGUUCGCCAUUUAAAGUGGUACGCGAGCUGGGUUUAGAACGUCGUGAGACAGUUCGGUCCCUAUCUGCCGUGGGCGCUGGAGAAUUGAGGGGGGCUGCUCCUAGUACGAGAGGACCGGAGUGGACGCAUCACUGGUGUUCGGGUUGUCAUGCCAAUGGCACUGCCCGGUAGCUAAAUGCGGAAGAGAUAAGUGCUGAAAGCAUCUAAGCACGAAACUUGCCCCGAGAUGAGUUCUCCCUGAGACUAUAAGUCUCCUGAAGGAACGUUGAAGACGACGACGUUGAUAGGCCGGGUGUGUAAGCGCAGCGAUGCGUUGAGCUAACCGGUACUAAUGAACCGUGAGGCUUAACCUUACAACGCCGAAG
rnacentral:rRNA from 1 species